UACGGAGGGUGCGAGCGUUGUCCGGAAUCACUGGGCGUAAAGGGCGCGUAGGUGGCACGGCAAGCGUGUGGUGAAAGCUCGGGGCUCAACCCCGAGUCGGCCAUGCGAACUGCCGAGCUGGAGCACUGUAGAGGCAGACGGAAUUCCGGGUGUAGCGGUGGAAUGCGUAGAGAUCCGGAAGAACACCGGUGGCGAAGGCGGUCUGCUGGGCAGUUGCUGACACUGAGGCGCGACAGCGUGGGGAGCAAACAGG
rnacentral:rRNA from 1 species